rnacentral:rRNA from 1 species
GGUGAGUAACGCGUGAGCAACCUGUCCCGAACAGGGGGAUAACGAGCCGAAAGGCUCACUAAUACCGCAUGAGACCACAGCAUCGCAUGGUGCAGGGGUCAAAGGAGCAAUCCGGUUCGGGGUGGGCUCGCGUCUGAUUAGCCAGUUGGUGAGGUAACGGCUUACCAAAGCAACGAUCAGUAGCCGACCUGAGAGGGUGAUCGGCCACAUUGGAACUGAGAGACGGUCCAAACUCCUACGGGAGGCAGCAGUGGGGAAUAUUGGGCAAUGGGCGAAAGCCUGACCCAGCAACGCCGCGUGAAGGAAGAAGGUUUUCGGAUCGUAAACUUCUAUCCUUGGUGAAGAUAAUGACGGUAGCCAAGAAGGAAGCCCCGGCUAACUAC